ensembl:misc_RNA Metazoa_SRP Metazoan signal recognition particle RNA
GCCGGGUGUGGUGGUGCGUGCCUGUAGUCCCAGCUACUUGGGAGGCUGGGGUGGGAGGAUCGCUUGAGCCCAGGAGUUCUGGGAUGUAGUGCUCUAUGCCGAUGGGGUGUCCACACUAAGUUCGGCAUCAAUAUGGUGACCUCCCGGGAGCGGGGGACCAGGUUGCCUAAGGAGGGGUGAACCGGCCCAGGUCAGAAACAGAGCAGGUCAAAACUCCGGUGCUAAUCAGUAGUGGGAUUAGCCACUGCACUCCAGCCUGUGCAACAUAGUGAGACCCUCAGCCUC